rnacentral:rRNA from 1 species
GACGAACGCUGGCGGCGUGCUUAACACAUGCAAGUCGAACGGAAAGGCCCUGCUUGCAGGGUACUCGAGUGGCGAACGGGUGAGUAACACGUGGGUGAUCUGCCCUGCACUUCGGGAUAAGCCUGGGAAACUGGGUCUAAUACCGGAUAGGAGCCAUUUUUAGUGUGAUGGUUGGAAAGUUUUUUCGGUGUAGGAUGAGCUCGCGGCCUAUCAGCUUGUUGGUGGGGUAAUGGCCUACCAAGGCGGCGACGGGUAGCCGGCCUGAGAGGGUGGACGGCCACAUUGGGACUGAGAUACGGCCCAGACUCCUACGGGAGGCAGCAGUGGGGAAUAUUGCACAAUGGGCGCAAGCCUGAUGCAGCGACGCCGCGUGGGGGAUGACGGCCUUCGGGUUGUAAACUCCGUUCGCUAGGGACGAAGCUUUUUGUGACGGUACCUAGAUAAGAAGCGCCGGCUAACUACGUG